UUAGAGAAGCUUACUAAUAAAGAAAAAGGCACUGUAGCAGCUUCUUCGCGAUUCCAUAUAAAAACCGAGGAGGACAUACAAAAAUUGGAAAAUGAAAUAAACGACAGCAACCGAGACUCUUAUGUUUCAGCAGUGCAAUACCUUCUUCAAGGGGAAGUUGGUAAAAAUUUUGAAAAAGUGCUGUCACGGAGUUUUUGUCUCCAAUUCAACAUUUAUGGCAUAUCCGGAAAAAAAUGUCUGAAGGAUUUUACUGAAGUGUUUACGGUAUUAAAAAAAGCAAUUGGAAAAACAUCGGUCAACGCGGAAGCUGAAAUACGAAAGGCCUUACAGAUUGUCAAAAAGAGGCAUUUCCGAAUGGUUUCUUUAGGAAAAUCCUAAAGUAAUUAAUUAACUUUUACCUUAAAAAUAUUAUAUAAGUACUUUGAAAUGUGUUUUUUGUUUUUCAUACUUUUGAAAGUUUUCGUUUUUGAAAAGUUUUAUUGUCCUUUUGUUUGGAAUACGUUAACAAAUUAACUAAAUAGAAAUGUUAAUAAAUAGUUGACGUACCUAAUAACUAAUAGUUAUAAUUACAAAACAAAAUAAAUAAAAGUUACAAAAUAUGUACCUAAUGUUCGAAUAAUUUAUACAUAUAU